rnacentral:rRNA from 1 species
UACGGGAGGCAGCAGUGGGGAAUUUUGGACAAUGGGCGUAAGCCUGAUCCAGCCAUGCCGCGUGUCUGAAGAAGGCCUUCGGGUUGUAAAGGACUUUUGUCCGGGAGCAAAUCCCAGUAGUUAAUACCUACUGGGGCUGAGAGUACCGGAAGAAUAAGCACCGGCUAACUACGUGCCAGCAGCCGCGGUAAUACGUAGGGUGCAAGCGUUAAUCGGAAUUACUGGGCGUAAAGCGUGCGCAGGCGGUUGUGCAAGUCUGAUGUGAAAGCCCCGGGCUUAACCUGGGAACGGCAUUGGAGACUGCACGACUAGAGUGCGUCAGAGGGGGGUAGAAUUCCGCGUGUAGCAGUGAAAUGCGUAGAGAUGCGGAGGAAUACCGAUGGCGAAGGCAGCCCCCUGGGAUGACACUGACGCUCAUGCACGAAAGCGUGGGGAGCAAACAGGAUUAGAUACCCUGGUAGUCCACGCCCUAAACGAUGUCAACUAGCUGUUGGGGGUUUGAAUCCUUGGUAGCGAAGCUAACGCGGGAAGUUGACCGCCU